GCUCUCCUCGCUGGGCCACUGCGGGCCCCCUGCCGGACUCCAUUCCACUUACCCCAAGGGAGGAGACAGAAGGGACUUCGCCUACUUGCAACAACGUGAAAUAAAAACCAACCCAGACCAGACUGGGGCGCUUUUUCUGACGGGAGAAAAUACCCUUUUCCGUGGAGAUAUAUGUUAUGAAGGACUAAGCAGUCUGGGGAUAGGCUGUGCUGGGAAGGGCCUGGGCCCCUUCCAGUGCUGGGUGCAGGUAUAGGCAUCCCUCCCAGACACCCAAAGGUCAAGCAGCAACGACUUACUUCCAAGGCGGCGUCAGAGCUUCCCUAGGCACAUUGCUGAAAUGACAUUUCGUGCCUAAGCCUUCUGCGCAUGCAUUACGCGCCCACAUAGGAUUUACGAUUGUAUACGCACACGUGUGUAUACCACAACCAGGGGACACAGCAGUGGUAGCACGGAAUAAAUAAUCCAUAAAUUUCGCAUCCAUUUAAUCACUUCUUCCAAAAACCUAUUGUCUAUUUUAGCGUCACCUUCUUUGUCAUAUUGAUAAUAAAUGUUUUAAUUUAUUGAUAAAUCACUGAGUGUCAGUCAUUGUAUUUGGUCACUUAUGGUACAUGAGUUCAUUUAAUUUCCAUGGCAACUCUACCGUGGUCAUUAUUAAGCCGGUAUAAAAGGUGAGGAAACCAAAGCCCAAAGUAUCAUGAGUGACUUUUCCAAAGACAAAUCCAGUGGUCUCUAAUUACAAAGCCUAUGAUACAACAACGUCUACAUCACUUUAGGUGUGGUCUAAGAGAUUAUAGAUUAAUUCAUAGAAAUUAUUCCCAUUCAAAGAAAGUUUAGUUUUAAUAUAUUCACUAAGUUACGUUCUGAAAAAAAGUUCAGAAAAAAGAUUUCAUCCUCUACUUUAGGUUGGUCUUCUGCAACUGACAUGAGCACGGUCCAAUUCAAAAGCAGUAUCAACACUGAAUACUUAUGGUUACAAUUUAUUUUUUAAUGAGUGGGGAAUUAUCUACAAUGCUUAAGAGGCUCUAGAAAAGGUGGUGUUGUAAAUUUAGAAUAAUAAAGGCAGUCGUUGCUGCUCUCAUCACUUACUGGGUGUUCUUUCCUGCAGAUUUAUUUUGGAGGGUGUAGGCAUUGCCAGGCAUAAUGUUUCCUUUUCUGGUUCUCAAGGUAGAAAGGGUUCUGGCAGUGGGGUUGGCACAAAGGGGAUUUGGAGCAUGGUUGAGAGCACAGUCUGGCCUAACGAGGAACGCCAGUUAAUAUACACUGGAGAGAAAAAUAUCAAUGGACAGAUUUAAUUAAUUUUGUAAGUUUAUUUUCUCCAUUUCACAUGUGAGAAAACUAAGGGCUCAGAAUUUUUAGAAGCUUGCUACUAAUUGGUAGACCUGAGUUUCAAGCCAGCCUUUAUUUAAG
rnacentral:lncRNA from 1 species